UUAAUUCCGAGACGACCCUUUCCGCUUCCUCUUCGUCCACCUCUGGAGAGAGGAGCGAAUAGUCAAAGUCAUUUGUAGCGUCGGACGCCUUGUUUUUAUUGUCGUAGGGGUCAAAUCCGUACUGCUUGAGUAUGCGAUACAGUGCUUGCAGUAUGAGUUUCACUUUGACGUCGUCGCUCUUCUUCGAGGAAAGAAUGUUUCCGAUGGAGGAGGAGGAGGAGGUGGUCACUUCAAUUCUCUUGGCCAUUGGCGAAAAGGUUCAACACGGAGGAAAGCAGGAGAGGAACCACCGACGAAAGAACGCCCUGUCCUCGCUGCUGAGACAGAUAGCGCUUCAAACGUUGCGGAUUCUUGUGAAUCUUUUUGUAGGCGAGCCGUCGUAAAAAGCGUUUGUGCUUCUUCAAACGCGCGAACGUAUCUGGAGCUAGAGCCACCUUUCCGUUCAAUACAUUGAGGCAAAUUUCGGAGAGGUGUUUCAUGUCGGACGAGGACGAACGUCUCAAGACGUCGCGACGGCGUGGAGGGGGUAGAGUGGAGAGUACUUUGAGUAAAGUGAGGUGAGGGCGGAGAUUCAUUUCGGAGCGUAGAUAUAUUGACGUUCUCCCGGAAAGAUAUUGCUACGCAACCUGUGAUCCUCGUGCGUAUAGUUGUGGAGAUCCACAAGUAAAUAUGCGUGGGGCGACGACAUCGCUUGUUUAUAUGCGUCCAGAAAAUACUCCAAUCUUUUUCUGCCAAAUAGCUGUUGGCCGAAAUGUUCCAUCUGGUGCACGCUGCGCACGGUGCGCCACAGGACGACGUAACUGGCGUUGUAGGAUAUUGUUCUAAAAUGGCUACUGUCGAAAAAGAUGUUUUGAACGAGUAAGAAGAUCGACGCGUUGGCGUGGUGAGAACCCCGAAUGAAAAGAUCGGUCACCUCCUUCAAGGAACCGGCGUCGGUCAUGUGAUCGUCGACGACGAUCAGCGUAGCGCGCGACGUGUCCCACUCUCGCGGUAGCUUCUUGGUAAAUUUUACGGAGUCCCCGAGUUCGUCCUGCAUGCUCGGCGAAGCAUAUUUCUGCACGUAGAAUAUUUGUGACGGAGGCUUGUCUACCACGUCGUUCAGGUUCCUCAACACGUUAGCAACGAACGUAGAUUUGCCGCACAUGGAGGGACCGCUUAAGAUACAGCGAAAAGGAUGACGGAAACGAAAAGGUUCGGGGGAAGACAUGUUACGUGCGUACACGUUGCACGAAGAGAAAGAAGAGACUGAGACUCGAGGAGAAAUGCAUUGCUUUUAUUUACACAUCCUCGUCGUCGUCCUCUACAUCGGAACUGCGUUCCCAAUACAGAUUGUCCAGGCUAAAGUUGGACUUCUUUUUCGCCAGUCUGUCCGCCGCUAAGAUGCGGUCGAGCGUCUUCAUCUUGUCCUGACACAUUUCUUGACGUGCUUGCAACCAUUCCAGACGGUGGACUUGAAAGGCUUCCUCCACGAUGCCGCGUAUAAAUUCGCGAAGUUCUUCGUUUUUUGUCUUUUCCUUGCGACGACGAGAAACGCAGGAGAAUAAACCACACAUGGCGUUUUCCACGUAUCGGUCAGAAUGAUGACGCGAGCGCGGUGCGCGCUGCCUUUAUACAGAUAAACGCGCGCGCGCAAAGAACGGAGAAUGAAAGCGAAACUGAAAAGCCACCCGUCGCCGCUAGGAGCGCGCGCGCGCAGCAGAGAGCCGAAACCGAAAACACCCGCGGCCGGCGCAGAGGGAGCUAGCAGCGCGCGCGCGCAUGCGCAGACGGGUGGAGUAGAGGGCGCGCGCGCAUCCAUAGCGGCCGCUGCGCGUCGCCUCUCUCAGUUUCUCUCGGACCGUCGCGGAAGACGGACGUGCGCUCCGCGCGCUCGCUCACUUUCUGGCUGGAUCUCGUAGAGAGCAGACGUGUGUGUUCUCCGCGCUCGCUCAGUUUCUGCCUGGAAGUUGCCGCGGGGGAAAAGAGCUAUGAUGGUGGCGCCAUCUGGUGUGAUGCCUUGCAACUAAGUGGCCACCUGUCGUCGAUCUCUGCAACUGCUGGGUGCAAACUACCAACAUGGCGGACGCUGGUCACUCGGGUGUUGCGGAGCGGCUUCUUCGCCGCGGCAUCGUUGAUUUUCGAAUAAAUUGUUUCUCUCCACUCUA